rnacentral:lncRNA from 1 species
AGUAAUAUUCUAAAAGAAAAUCUCAUGUUGUCUCCAACCAAACGUCCCUAUAGAGAUAAUUCCUUGAAAAAACCCCAAAAAAACUUCGAUCCACCAUAGCAAGGAUUUCUAGGGUUGUCCAUAAUGGUAAGCGAUGGUGAUGUCUGCUUUCAAACGCGAAGGGAGGUGUUUCGCCCCACUGAUCUCUCCUCGCCCAAUCACCGCCAUUCGAUCUUGUCCCCUCACUCCCACUCAUGAGCACGAUUCUCAUAUUUUCAAUCUCUCAACUUGUCAUCUCUUUCGAUACAUAUACAUAUAUUCUCAUCUCAUUUUUCCUUAUUUACCUUGAUUUCUGCUUUGAUGAUUAACAACUCAGGCCAAAAAAGAAGAGGUUUUCGUUGUUUUUCCCUUAUCUUUUAGGCCCAAAUGACACAUUUUCCUUUUCUUUCUUGAUAAC